AUUGAACGCUGGCGGCAUGCCUUACACAUGCAAGUCGAACGGCAGCACGGGAGCAAUCCUGGUGGCGAGUGGCGAACGGGUGAGUAAAGUAUCGGAACGUGCCCAGUCGUGGGGGAUAACGUAGCGAAAGUUACGAUAAUCAAGCAUACGAUCUAUGGAUGAAAGCGGGGGAUCGCAAGACCCCGCGCGAUUGGAGCGGCCGAUGUCAGAUUAGGUAGUUGGUGGUGUAAAGGCUCACCAAGCCGACGAUCUGUAGCUGGUCUGAGAGGACGACCAGCCACACUGGGACUGAGACACGGCCCAGACUCCUACGGGAGGCAGCAGUGGUGAAUUUUGGACAAUGGGCGAAAGCCUGAUCCAGCCAUGCCGCGUGCAGGAUGAAGGCCUUCGGGUUGUAAACUGCUUUUGUACGGAACGAAAAGGUUUGGCCUAAUAAGCUGAGCUCAUGACGGUACCGUAAGAAUAAGCACCGGCUAACUACGUGCCAGCCGCCGCAGUAA
rnacentral:rRNA from 1 species